rnacentral:rRNA from 1 species
GUGUCUAUCUGUACCCUGUUGCUUCGGCGUGGCCACGGCCCGCCGGAGACUAACAUUUGAACGCUGUCUGAAGUUUGCAGUCUGAGUUUUUAGUUAAACAAUCGUUAAAACUUUCAACAACGGAUCUCUUGGUUCCGGCAUCGAUGAAGAACGCAGCGAAAUGCGAUAAUUAAUGUGAAUUGCAGAAUUCAGUGAAUCAUCGAGUCUUUGAACGCACAUUGCGCCCCCUGGUAUUCCGGGGGGCAUGCCUGUCCGAGCGUCAUUGCUGCCCUCAAGCACGGCUUGUGUGUUGGGCUUCCGUCCCUGGCAACGGGGACGGGCCCAAAAGGCAGUGGCGGCACCAUGUCUGGUCCUCGAGCGUAUGGGGCUUUGUCACCCGCUCCCGUAGGUCCAGCUGGCAGCUAGCCUCGCAACCAAUCUUUUUAACCAGGUUGACCUCGGAUCAGGUAGGGAUACCCGCUGAACUUAAGCAUAUCAAUA